GGGGGUAUAGCUCAGUGGUGGAGUGUGUGCUUAGCAUGCACAAGGUCCGGGGUUCAAUCCCCAGCACCUCCA
rnacentral:tRNA from 1 species